rnacentral:tRNA from 1 species
UCCCUUGUGGUUCAGCUGGUAAAGAAUCUGCCUGCAAUGCAGGAAACCUGGAUUCAAUUCCAGGUUAGGGAG